rnacentral:lncRNA from 1 species
UGAGUCCCGCGCACAUACCCGUGUUCUCUUGCGUCAGGAAUCCCGAAGCAACUCAGUCGCACGGGUGUCUCGAUUGUUUCCUGCGCAUUCUGACAAGCGUCCAAGGCCUGGAUGCUGGGCAUCAGAACAAGAGGACUCCUACAUCCUAGGAGUAUAGAGUGCAUUUCCCGGACGGCGCUGGAGUUCAGUGAAAUGAGCGAGAACCAAGCCCGCGCCUCGUUCAAGCGACUCGCUAGGCAGUGUCGAGAGCCUCUUGUGAAGAAGCAGAAAACCGUACUUGACACUGGGGGCGGUGAUCUGAAGCUUGCAGUCAUCGGGAACGGGAGCCCCGGGAACCCGGCCAACGUUAUUCUGUUCGGCCCUGGGGGUGGAUACCUAUUCAAUUGCGGUGAAGGCACGCAAAGAUUGUGUAAUGAACUCCGGUUCAAGAUGAACAAAACAGGGAACCUCUUCUUCACCUCACCAACAUGGAAAAACAUCGGUGGUCUUCCCGGCUACUGUUUGACCGCGCAAUCGAUGGGUCUCUUAGCGAUGAAUUUUCAUGGCUCUCGGCGGGUGGUUCGAUUGAUCGAAUCAGCUCAGCGACUGAUCAAGGUCGACUUUCUGUCGGUCGACUACCACGACGAAGACCUCUACCAGGACAGCCAGGUUAGCAUCAAGCGAGUCAGACUGGUGAGCUCGUCACAGAAAACCGACGGCCUCGUUUCCCCUGAUGAGGUUUACGCUUUCAUCUGUAGAGGCAAAGAUUACGUGGGGGGGUUGAAUCUGAGCAAAUGCGUCGAAUUAGGCAUACCGGUGGGUCCAUUAUUCAGUAAAAUCAAGUCAGGGGAAACGAUCACUCUGGAGAACGGCACCGUCGUGACCCCGCAAGACGUAGUCGGUCGCUCUCGACCGGGAACCGUUUCAAUAAUUCUCGAAUGUCCGUCGGAAGAUUACGUGGACUCGCUGGUGGCCUCAGAGAAAAUUCAGGCGCAUCAGGAUCGUCCUGGAUCAGAUGAAAAGUAUCUCGCUUCUGUCGUGGUGCACAUGACUCCAAGCGACGUUUAUGCAUCGGCGAAGUACCAAGACUUUUUGAAUCAUUUCCCGGACACUUGUGGGCAUAUACAUCUCUGUGAGAAGAACACAACUGCUUGCAGUCCCGGUGCUGUCAGGAUCUCUGCUCAGUUGAAUCUCAUCAACGAGGAGAUUUUCCCACUGCUGCCGGCGAAUGACGGUGAGAAAGUUUACCCGAUGGACGGAAUCACGUUCCGUCACCGGGAAAAGAACGAACCUUUAGAAGAAACGUCUAUAGAGAGCGUCAUCAAAGAAACUGAGGAGUACACAGGAUACCACGAGAUUCGCGCUGAAUUGAAGAAACGUCUAGAAUCGAUAGAGAACACCGAUCACCGCGAAUACCCGAAGGUGACAUUCCUCGGCACCGGCAGUUGUACGCCAUCAAAAACCCGCAAUGUGUCUGCCAUUCUCGUUCAAUCGUCGGAGAACGCGGCUUUCCUGCUCGAUUGCGGUGAAGCUACAUCGAGUCAGCUAGUUCGAGCUUUCGGUGAAGCUGAAGCUCAGAAAAUCUUGAGGGACUUGAAAUUCGUGUUCAUAUCACACAUCCAUGCGGACCAUCAUCUGGGACUGAUCGGUGUCCUGGUGAAGCGGAAAGAGCUGGGUCUAAGUGACAGGUUGCCGGUCUUCGCACCCUCUUUCCUCCCUGCUUGGCUGGGGUCAUAUUCUUCAACGUUCGAAAGCGUAGGAUGCCGUUUCAUCGAUUCGAGUAAUCUGUAUAACCUCAGAUUGCAUCCGGAAGGUUAUUUCUCCGAAUUUUCAGUGGAGCGGAUAACAACCUGUAAAGUGAUUCAUUGUCCCGAAGCCUACGGGAUCCGCGUAGACACCGGAGACUAUAGUAUCGUUUAUUCAGGAGACACACGUCCGUCUCCCGAACUCAUCGAAAUCGGCGAAGGCUGCGACUUGCUCAUACACGAAGCCACAAUGGAAGACGAUCUAGAAGAAGACGCGAAGGCCAAGAAACAUUCAACGACGUCACAAGCGAUACAAGUCGGGAAGGACAUGAAGGCGAAGUUCACGAUCCUGACGCACUUCUCGCAGCGUUACAGCAAACUGCCGCUCGUCGCAGAGAGCAUCUUCGAGGAAAGACGCGUGGGUCUUGCCUUCGAUUUCAUGCAGGUAGCCCCAAAAAAUCUCUACAUACUCCCUCACCUCUAUCCCAUGAUGAAGAAUGUGUUCGCCGAGUAUUACGAGAAAAUGGCGGAAAGAACGCAGAUCAAGGCACAGAGGAAGCUGAUUCUGCGAAACUGAGGCAUCACCUUUCAUCGUUGUACAGUUGUUUUCGGUCGCAAGAAAAUAACGAGAAUUUUGUUCGUCGUGUACAGUUGACUUUGUCCUUCUACCAUAAGAGUGUAAGAUGGGUAUAAUUGGGGUCCAGUUGAAAAGGACUCAGGGCUGCGGAAGUCGUGGAGGAGGAAUAAAAAUCUCUCGCUUCGAG